rnacentral:rRNA from 1 species
AAACUGAAGAGUUUGAUCAUGGCUCAGAUUGAACGCUGGCGGCAGGCCUAACACAUGCAAGUCGAGCGGAAACGAUGGAAGCUUGCUUCCAGGCGUCGAGCGGCGGACGGGUGAGUAAUGCAUAGGAAUCUGCCCGAUAGUGGGGGAUAACCUGGGGAAACUCAGGCUAAUACCGCAUACGUCCUACGGGAGAAAGCAGGGGAUCUUCGGACCUUGCGCUAUCGGAUGAGCCUAUGUCGGAUUAGCUAGUUGGUGAGGUAACGG